UGAGAAGCAUGCAGGGAAGGUGCAAAGGGUGCAGGCCUGGGGAGGUAGAAUGCCUGGUGGCAGAGGGACUGUGGGUGACCCGAGACUAGGGAGAAAAGAGACCCAGUGGAGGGUGACACAGGUGAGGCCCAGGGUCUUAGGUAACAAACAUGCAUGUUUGAUGACAGGUCCCCAUUUAGGUGAGAUGUGCCUGUAACAAUGCCAGUUGGCAGGUUCCGGCCUGGUUUGCGGCCUGACUGACCCUUCGAAGGAGAUAAGCUAUGAGCCAGGAUGGGGGGGGGCCCCUAAACACCGCUGUGUCACAACACCCAGACCGAAAGGGUGCCUGGACUUCCCAUCAAGGAACUCCCUGGAUCCUGGGACCCAGCCUCUGGGCGGGGGACCCAGUGCUGGCGAUGAGCUAACUGGACCAGGUACACGCUGUGCCUACAGGACUCGCCGCUGUAUCAGAGGCUUGGGGACAGGGGGUCAGGCCUGAGGCUUCUCUCCUCUUCCGGAAGAAGCUGGGCCCAUUUCUCUUCCUGAGACUGGGAUGUCAGCCGACAGGACACCCGAGAAGCUUGGAAAAGCAUUGGUUGGUUUCUGCUUCACUCUCGGCUCCUCUGCAAUGACCCUAAACCUGCCACUGAGCUUGUACGCUGGGAAACGAGCCCACCCAGUGGCCCUGUCACCCCAGCCAGUCGUACAAUGAGGUGUGCAUUGUGCCCUCUGAGACCCCAAGGGCUGCCAGCCAAGCCCAGCCGAAAUUGCUGACCACCGAUGCGUGAACUAAAGAAAUGUUUACUGGUG